rnacentral:rRNA from 1 species
UACGAAGGGGGCUAGCGUUGCUCGGAAUCACUGGGCGUAAAGGGUGCGUAGGCGGGUCUUUAAGUCAGGGGUGAAAUCCUGGAGCUCAACUCCAGAACUGCCUUUGAUACUGAAGAACUUGAGUUCGGGAGAGGUGAGUGGAACUGCGAGUAUAGAGGUGAAAUUCGUAGAUAUUCGCAAGAACACCAGUGGCGAAGGCGGCUCACUGGCCCGAUACUGACGCUGAGGCACGAAAGCGUGGGGAGCAAACAGG